UACGGGGGGGGCAAGCGUUGUUCGGAAUUACUGGGCGUAAAGGGCUCGUAGGCGGCCAACUAAGUCGGAUGUGAAAUCCCCAGGCUCAACCUGGGAACUGCAUCCGAUACUGGAUGGCUUGAAUCCGGGAGAGGGAUGCAGAAUUCCAGGUGUAGCGGUGAAAUGCGUAGAUAUCGGGAGGAACACCAGUGGCGAAGGCGGCGCUCUGGGCCGGAACUGACGCUGAGGAGCGAAAGCCAGGGGAGCGAACGGG
rnacentral:rRNA from 1 species